rnacentral:rRNA from 1 species
GACAGAGGUCUCAAGCGUUGUUCGGAUUCAUUGGGCGUAAAGGGUGCGUAGGCGGCGCGGUAAGUCGGGUGUGAAAUCUCGGAGCUUAACUCCGAAACUGCAUUCGAUACUGCCGUGCUUGAGGACUGGAGAGGAGACUGGAAUUUACGGUGUAGCGGUGAAAUGCGUAGAUAUCGUAAGGAAGACCAGUGGCGAAGGCGGUUCUCUGGGCAUGAUCUGACGCUGAGGAGCGAAAGUGUGGGGAGCGAACAGG